GAUGAACGCUAGCGGCAGGCCUAAUACAUGCAAGUCGAACGGUGCCUUCGGACAUAGUGGCGCACGGGUGCGUAACACGUAUGCAACCUACCUUACAUUGGGGGAUAGCCUUUCGACAGGGAGAUUAAUACCGCAUAAGACAGUAGCUGGGCAUCCAGCAGCUGUUAAAGAUUUAUCGAUGUAAGCUGGGCAUGCGUCCAAUUAGCUAGUUGGUGAGGUAACGGCUCACCAAGGCAAUGAUUGGUAGGGGAACUGAGAGGUCAAUCCCCCACACUGGCACUGAGAUACGGGCCAGACUCCGACGGGAGGCAGAAGUAGGGAAUAUUGGGCAAUGGACGCAAGUCUGACCCAGCCAUGCCGCGUGCAGGAUGAAGGCGUUAUGCGUUGUAAACUGCUUUUAUACAGGAAGAAACGACUCUUGCGAGAGGCAUUGACGGUACUGUAUGAAUAAGCACCGGCUAACUCCGUGCCAGCAGCCGCCGUAACAC
rnacentral:rRNA from 1 species